UCUUUAUUCACCUACAGGUGCUGUCCCAAAAUCUUCCCUGGCUCCCAGAAGAUCCCAGUUCCUCUUUAUUCACCCAUGGAGCCUCUCCAGGUGCUCCCAGUGCUGUCCCAAAAUCUUCCCUGGCUCCCAGAAGAUCCCAGCCCCUCUUUAUUCACCCACAGAGCUGCUCCAGGUGCUCCAAGUGUUGUCCCAAAAUCUUCCAUGGCUCCCAGAAGAUCCCAGUUCCUCCUUUAUUCACCCACAGAGCUGCUCCAGGUGCUCCAAGUGCUGUCCCAAAAUCUUCCCUGGCUCCCAGAAGAUCCCAGCCCCUCUUUAUUCACCCACAGAGCUGCUCCAGGUGCUGUCCCAAAUUGUCUCACCUGCACCCAGAAGCUCCCAGCCCCUCUUUCUUCACCCCCAGAGCCUCUCCAGGUGCUCCUGAGCCCCUCGUGGCCUUUGGGGGUUGCUGACAGACACCCCGAGGCUCCCCCUGAGCCCCUGCAGGACGCAGGGUGGGGAAACUGAGGCAGGAGCCG